UACGGGGGGGGCAAGCGUUGUUCGGAAUUACUGGGCGUAAAGGGCUCGUAGGUGGCCAACUAAGUCAGACGUGAAAUCCCUGGGCUCAACCCAGGAACUGCGUCCGAUACUGGUUGGCUUGAAUCCGGGAGAGGGAUGUGGAAUUCCAGGUGUAGCGGUGAAAUGCGUAGAUAUCUGGAGGAACACCGGUGGCGAAGGCGGCAUCCUGGACCGGCAUUGACGCUGAGGCGCGAAAGCUAGGGGAGCAAACGGG
rnacentral:rRNA from 1 species